GACGUAGGGAGCAAGCGUUGUCCGGAUUUACUGGGCGUAAAGCGCACGUAGGCGGUCUGUUAAGUGUGAAGUGAAAUCUCCAGCGCUCAACGCGGAAACUGCUUCGCAUACUGGCAGACUAGAGGAUUGAAGAGGUAACUAGAAUUCCCGGUGUAGCGGUGACAUGCAUAGAUAUCGGGAGGAAUACCAAAGGCGAAGGCAGGUUACUGGUCAAUUCCUGACGCUGAGGUGCGAAAGCGUGGGUAGCAAACAGAAUUAGAUACUCUGGUAGUCCACGCCCUAAACGAUGGAUACUAGGCGUAAGAGGUAUCGACCCCUCUUGUGCCGCAGCUAACGCAUUAAGUAUCCCGCCUGGGGAGUACGGCCGCAAGGUUGAA
rnacentral:rRNA from 1 species